UACGUAGGUGGCAAGCGUUAUCCGGAUUUACUGGGUGUAAAGGGAGCGCAGGUGGCAAGGCAAGCCAGAAGUGAAAACCCGGGGCUUAACCCCGCGGAUUGCUUUUGGAACUGUCUGGCUGGAGUGCAGGAGGGGCAGGCGGAAUUCCUGGUGUAGCGGUGAAAUGCGUAGAUAUCAGGAGGAACACCAGUGGCGAAGGCGGCCUGCUGGACGACAACUGACGGUGAGGCGCGAAAGCGUGGGGAGCAAACAGG
rnacentral:rRNA from 1 species